CUAUCUCUGAGUAGUGCACAAGAUGUCAGGACUCCAGAUUCACCGUUCCUCUGCAAACAACUGCUGACUUUCUGUGGAGGCUUGGAUGAACACAGGAAGAUUAUGGAGCAAUACUUGAAGCCCAAAUGAAGCUCAGGACCCAGAGACUUCUCAAAACUUGUCUUCAAUGCUCGAACUCUUCUGUAGCCACCUGUUUCUACUGGAGUUUAGCCAGGUGUUUCCUGAACCCACACUGGUGCCAAGCAUGGCCGCAUGAUGGCUACAGAGAGAUGAGUCAAAUCUGGUUUCUGUGCUUAAGGUACCAUCGUGAUCUUGGGGCAGAGAGGUCCUCCUAGGUACAGUAGCCAUGGAGAAGAUGAACCCUAAAGGAAAGAGUCAGAAAGGCCUUCUGAAGGAAAUGACCCUUGAGUCCAGUAAAAGAGUGUAGCAUCUAGUAAUCCCUCAAAUGUUGAAAUAAACUGAACAGGUAAAUGAAGAGGAAAGAGGAUUCCAGGCAGAGAGCACUGGACCUAGCAACCGUUCAGGAGAGAGUCAGCCUGCAAGUGUCUAUUCAUUCAGCAGAUGUCUUUUGAGCCCACAAUACAAGAGCACCAAGGCUAUGCGGUCCCAUGGUGAAGAGCACCAAAACAACUAAGAAAUGUGUCAAGGAAUAAAGGCUUCUCAACGAAGUACCUGAGUAAGACCUGAAGGACUCACAGGGGCUGGCCGCAUCACUCACCCAUUUCUUGGACAUAUGCCCUUGGUCGUGCUCUGUGCUGG
rnacentral:lncRNA from 1 species